AUUGAACGCUGGCGGCAGGCCUAACACAUGCAAGUCGAACGAGUGGCGGACUGGUGAGUAAUGUCUGGGAACCUGCCCGAUGGAGGGGGAUAACUGCUGGAAACGGUAGCUAAUACCGCAUACCAUCGGAUGUGCCCAGAUGGGAUUAGCGAGUCGGUGGGGUAACGGCGCACCUAGGCGACGAUCCCGAGCUGGUCUGAGAGGAUGACCGGCCACACUGGGACUGAGACACGGUCCAGACUCCGACGGGAGGGAGCAGUGGGGAAUAGUGCACAAUGGGCGCAAGCCUGAUGCAGCCAUGCCGCGUGUAUGAAGAAGGCCUUCGGGUUGUAAAGUACUUUCAGCGGGGAGGCGUUACUCGCAGAGGAAGCAACGGCUAACUCCGUGCCAGCAGCCGCGGUAAUUC
rnacentral:rRNA from 1 species